rnacentral:rRNA from 1 species
UACGUAGGGUGCGAGCGUUAAUCGGAAUUACUGGGCGUAAAGCGUGCGCAGGCGGUUGUGCAAGACAGAUGUGAAAUCCCCGGGCUUAACCUGGGAACUGCAUUUGUGACUGGCGGGCUAGAGUAUGGCAGAGGGGGGUAGAAUUCCACGUGUAGCAGUGAAAUGCGUAGAGAUGUGGAGGAAUACCGAUGGCGAAGGCAGCCCCCUGGGCCCAAUACUGACGCUCAUGCACGAAAGGCGUGGGGAGCAAACG